rnacentral:rRNA from 1 species
CCCUUAGAUGUUCUGGGCGGCCCGCGCACUACACUGGCACUCUCAAUCAGAGCCUGGAUCUAACACUUUGGGGUAUUCUAUGAAGUGGUGUCGUGACUGGGAUUAACCCUUGCAAUUAUUGGUUACGAACGAGGAAUUCCUUGUAAUCGCGGUUUAUCAGCCCGCGUUGAAUGCGUCCCUGCCCUUUGUACACACCGCCCGUCGCUCCUACCGAUGGGUCGUCCGGUGAAGCUCAUGGAGGGGCGGUUGUCUCAGCUGCCGUCGAAGUGAAAUGGACCUCACGAUCUAGAGGAAGGAGAAGUCGUAACA